UGGGGAAUAUUGGACAAUGGGGGCAACCCUGAUCCAGCAAUGCCGCGUGUGUGAAGAAGGUCUUCGGAUUGUAAAGCACUUUCGACGGGGACGAUGAUGACGGUACCCGUAGAAGAAGCCCCGGCUAACUUCGUGCCAGCAGCCGCGGUAAUACGAAGGGGGCUAGCGUUGCUCGGAAUGACUGGGCGUAAAGGGCGUGUAGGCGGUUUACACAGUCAGAUGUGAAAUCCCCGGGCUUAACCUGGGAGCUGCAUUUGAUACGUGUAGACUAGAGUGUGAGAGAGGGUUGUGGAAUUCCCAGUGUAGAGGUGAAAUUCGUAGAUAUUGGGAAGAACACCGGUGGCGAAGGCGGCAACCUGGCUCAUGACUGACGCUGAGGCGCGAAAGCGUGGGGAGCAAACAGGAUUAGAUACCCUGGUAGUCCACGCUGUAAACGAUGUGUGCUAGAUGUUGGGUAACUUUGUUAUUCAGUGUCGCAGUUAACGCGUUAAGCACACCGCCUGGGGGAGUAC
rnacentral:rRNA from 1 species